UAGGGAAUCUUCCACAAUGGGCGCAAGCCUGAUGGAGCAACGCCGCGUGAGUGAAGAAGGUCUUCGGAUCGUAAAACUCUGUUGUUAGAGAAGAACACGAGUGAGAGUAACUGUUCAUUCGAUGACGGUAUCUAACCAGCAAGUCACGGCUAACUACGUGCGAG
rnacentral:rRNA from 1 species